CAUCAUUAUCAAGAACGAUUGAUUGAGACAGAGGGUGUGUUUCUGUGAUGGAGAUCUUGAAAUUCACUAUUCCAAGCAGGGCUGAUGAGAGAGAAAAUGAAGGGUGGUGAUGUUGCUGCGCCGUUACUCUCUUUAAAUCACUCACUGAGUAAUUGAGGUUCGUCGGAGACAGACAAAGCACAACAUUUUCGGACAUCACGAUCUCUUCAUUAUCAAAGGCAUUGGCUUGAUUUCUGCAAUAUCGGUGUAGAAAUUCAUAUGUUCCUGAUUUAUCGUUUGGGCUGUGCGAUUGCUUUAGUCAGAGGUGAAGACCUUGCUUACCCGAAAUACGAUUCCGAUGAUUCGGUUAAGGAUCCGAGUUAUAGCACUGUUGAAGAGUAAGGCCAAGGCACGGAACAACGAUGACAAAAGGGAGGCAUUAGAUAACCUGGAUAUAAUACUUUUUCCUUUAUUUGAAGGCUUGAGAAAAGAGUGAACGAGGUCGAGCAGUAUUACUUGAGGAAAGGCAGUCUGCAACCAACCACUUCGAAGGAGAAAGACAAAGAAACAUUUUAAUACAAUUAAGAAGCAGCAACAAGAUGCAUCACGUAGGGAAGCCACUGCGGCAAAGAGGAUUCGAGAUCUGUUGAAUAAGUUUUCCGCAAUCUUCAAACAGGCAAACAGGGCAAAAACAAUACUUAAUAAGUCAGUAACUGGGAGUGUAGCUGCAGAUGGGAUGUGCAAGUCACCUUCUAAAGAGAAAUUGAAGCAAAUGAGAAGCAUAGAUAUCAACUCCAACUUGAGGAGGCUAUUAGUAACAUAGGUGCAUUUUCUCCCCCAGUAUUUGGUUGUUGUUACUUUGCCUUUCUUUUCCUUUUUGUACUCAUCAAGUGUUCUAUAGCUGGAACAGAACUUUCUGUUUUCGUCAAACUAUCAAUCUAUUACAUAUAAAAUUCAUGAAAAAGGAACCAAACCCGCAGCAACGCGCGGACGCUUUUUCUAGUCUAUAUACUAAACGUCAGUGCACUGUUCCUGACUGUUCAUAAGGGACGGAAAGGACGAUUCUGUCCUCACUUUAUCUUUUUUUACGCCUCUGCCAUUCACUCUCUCUUCCUCCCUCUGCCUCUCUCUCUCUUUCACCUAAAACGAAUUGUUUCUCCUUUCUCUUGCUCUCCUACUCCCCUCGCUUUGAACCGUAUGGAUCUUUCAAAUUUCAAUUGGUUUUUGAAGAAAGCCCAGAAGCUUCAACUUGAAGGCACCAAUCAAAGAACACAAGUUUGCAAUUGGGAGAGAGAGUUAUGCUUAGAAGACGAGGGAUUGGGAGAGGGAGUUCUGAGUUUCUGCCAUUGGUUGUUGACCGAAGCUAGAAUCACAGACUGAUCGGAGUUCAUUGUUUGCUUGCUUUUGGCCAGGCAAGGUACUGAAGGAGGAAUGUGUUAAAUGGUUACAACAUGGAGAAGACUGUAAAAGUACUUGGGCUCCCUCCCUCUAUGAACUAGAGAACUUCAUUUGAUUACUAUUAGUUGUUAGUUCAGUUAGAAAGCAAUUGAUAAUUGUUAUAUAACUUGAACGAAGUGAUAUACCCGCAGUUUAGAAAUUCCUAAAACUUCUGUACAAUAAGUUAAACUCACACACAUAAUCGCUAAAGUCUGAAAACAUAAAAUAAAACACUGACAGUUUCAUAUGAAGUUUCUGGAAAUAGUGAUAAAUAAAGGAAUCUAAUCAUCAAACUAAAGCCAACAAUGUUCACUUAUUUCGUACACCAUAAAAUUGGUUUUACGUGAACAGGUCUGCAAAUGUCAAUAGCAUUGGAAACAUAUCCUCUUCGAUGAUCUGAGCAACAAAAGCAAUUAAAUGGAGUGGUUUAAUUAAUGAGGCAGAGACAUAUUACCCUAGAAAAGAUAUAGAUUACUAACUUCAAUAACAAACUACCAAAGACAAUUCUAAAUAUACGAAAGACAAACUUACUGUUCACACCUGUUCAUUGGGUGUUGAAAAGGCUAUUUUGCCCUUGCUUUUCCCCCACAAUCUCAGGCUGCCAUUGACCUAGGUACUAGAUGCUUUCAUCGGUUUCUUCUUUCUUCUACGGCCGUAUAACCACGAUUGACUUCCGUAAAAGUGGUGAGAAGAGAGUGUGAUGCGGAUAAGAAGGAAAGGGACUGUCGAAAGAGACUCUGAGAGCGAAGAGGCUCUUUUGCUUUAACCACAACACUCCAAUAGCUCAAGUGAAACUCGCCUGCAGUCGAUUUUUUCUCUUGAUUUGACGAUGAAGGUCUCUAAUCUGACGAUCCGUACUAUACCUUUUAAAAGAAACUUGAAAAACAAACAUAUUCAUAAGAAGCUUGGUUGAGACGGAGGAAGAACAGAGGGACGAGAAGAUCGAGGAGGACGAAGAUGGAACUGGGUAAUCGAUUUUCAAGUCCAGUUUGUUCUAAUCGAUUAAAGUUUUAGAUUGUUUGUUUUUGUGGUUUAAUUCGGAAUUUCUUUCAGGUCUUAAAGAUACUCUAGAAUGGUUGUCUCCAUUGUCCGCAGAAAAAAAAAAAAUAAGAGUCCGAAUUGGACCUAGGCUUUUCAGCGACAAAUGGCUCAUUUUGAGUUACGAUCGAGCAAAUGUCAGAGGUACCGGGCAAAAUGUCAGAGGAAGGCUUAAUUUUGUGCUCCUCUUAUGAAGGUGUUUCUUGACGAUGGGAAGAAAGAGAGGCUCAUCAAUCAGGAUUAGAAGCUUCCCAACCGGCUCUAACUCAAUAUCGGGUGCUUGGUCCUUUGAUAAAUGGAUGCUCAUGGAUUGAAUUACAACCACUCACUAGCCGAAAGCAUCUGGUGAAUUUUUCCUUGGACAGUUUAUAGAAAUCGUUGGCUAAUAUUUGGUUGGAGCACAAGGAUUCCCUAGCUGGAGCACUACUUUUGGCCUUAAGGCAACAUUGUUCUGGAGAAAUUUGAGAGGAGGUGGCAUGAAGUAACAAACCAAGUAGGGGAACAUAUCUACCAAUUCUGUUGCAUAAUUUACUAUUCCUGAGCUGAACAUCGCUGACCAACCAAAAUGGUGGAAAAGAAGUGUUCCGAAGUGCUUUAGAUCAAGCUGGAGAUAGAGUAGGUGUUGUUCAAUUCUAUGGAAAGCACUGUCUCUGGAUUUUGAGCAAUGGAAGAACUGUAUGCGGUAGUGAUUCUGUUUGGAAGGCCUUGAUUUUUUAUGCCAAAAGUUGUGAAUGCUUCUUUAAUGCUGAUCAACACAAUGAUUUGGCAACGCCAUAGUAGACGUAAAGAAAAUGUUGGACCAAUUUCAUGAGUUGCCCAAUGCCAACAGCAUAAUUUUCAAAAACGCUAGAUGCAAGGUGCUUUUUAGUAUUAACUUUUUGAAGUUAUUCAAGAAUCUGAUGUCGGCCUGUUCUUCUACUGAAGCAGUCAUGUGGCUAAAGACCCAAGAAGCGCAGUGUACAGAGAAGUUGUAGUAGCUCUUGACUAAUCUUGAAGAAACUUAAGGUUAAAUCUCAUUGUUUGCACAACAGACUAUUGGAAAGAAAAUGAGAUAAUGUUAAAGGUCUGAGAUGUAUUGCUAUUGCAAAGAAUAUGAGAUAAUGUUAAAGGUCUGAGAUGUAUUGCCUCUAGAGGAUAUCCCAAAGUUGGAAUAUCUCUUAGAUACACACAUAAAAUCAUUUUUAUUGAUCUCGCA